GGCUCCCCUCGCGCCUCGACGCUCCGCAAAUGGCGGACACCGCGAGGUCAUUGGGGGGGCUGCUCCCCACUUGUCUCCCCGCUUGGUCCCGGCCAGGCAUUGAUUCUGGCCGAACGCCUCAGUGGCUGGACAAAAACUGACUUAGCUACGACGAACCCCGAAAACUCUACACCGACUUCUUGUCUCCACAGAUUUCGUCUCCCCGACUGUUUGGCGCCUAACUGCCGCAGCCGCGUCCUCACAACAAACCGCCACCACCCACGCCCUCCCCGCUUCUCCUCAGGGAAGAUCGGGCCUCAGCGACAGACUUCGAAUCAAACAGUCUCGAGUGAAAAGAAAAAAAGUAACAUAAGCCUAAGAACUAACAAAGCUUCAAGGGCCGCUUUCUCCCACACUCGCCUCCCGCCAGCCUCACCUCAGCAAGUCGACGCCGCCCUCAGCUGGGGACUUAACGGCCUUUUCCCGCACAAACCCGCCUCUCAGGCUCAUGAAUAAUCAAUGAAACGUUUCUGGGCGGGGCAAGGAGCUUCCUUAUGAAUAAUUCAUUACCUCACAAUGGCUGGUGGCUGGUCCGACUGGUCCGGGCUCCAGCCUCGCUCGGCCUCAUGAAUAUGCAAAGAGGAGAGCCGAGGCCAACGUGGCUCAGGCCAGUCCGCCCGCUCUAGGCCCCCCCUCUCCGCGUUGGGCCGCGCUUUGGUUCCUAGUCCACCUGCGGGCCGGCCGCGCUCUCCACGUAGCUGGGGCCACUUUCCUGCCCUUGCGAGGGCUGGUCCCGCUCUGCAGGGCCUGAAGGACCCGCGCUGCCGGGUGCUGGGAGCGAGAGGCUGCAGAAGAGCCCCGACGGGCCUUCUUCGGGACGCCAGGCCUGGACCGCCCUCACGUCGAGGACAGGCUGCUGCGGGACUUGCUGAGGAGGUGCCAGCCCGCCCAGAAUAUAAGUAAGCUUCAAUAGAGGACUGGACUGCCCCGCUUACCUGGAUGCCCAGUGCCCAACACAGUGCCCGGCACACAGUUAUCACUAAUAAACAUUGGUGAGCUGAAACAAAAAAUUACCCUGUCUUCCUUCAAAGAACUUAUGUAGUGUUUCUGCAACUCCUUUCCCUCCAUGUUCCCUGAUGGGUACUUAUGACUUGGUAAGAACUUGAAUGGAUGAAUGAGCUCUUGUGCUACUGAGUUCCGAGUUCCAGGUAAUAAAGCCUUUCCUUUUCUCACUCAUUUAUCAACUCCUUGAAGGGGGAAAUGGUUCUUUAUUAUAUUCAUUGAAGAUGUCAACAUGAAUCAUUGAAUGAACUAAUCCAUAACUUGAGAAACAAUAAAUUAAAAAUUGUUAGUGCUACAGGGGAUGACAGAAAUCAUCAGAAUAUAGUCUCUCACUUUACACAUGAGAAUUUAAGUAAUUUGCUCAAGUCCCCAAGCUUGUUAAGAAACCAAGUCACAAAUAUAACCAUGGUCUCACACCCCUCAUUUCUAGGCCCUUAUCUCUAGCCAGUCUAGUUUUGUUUACUUUUCUGUAAACCUGACUUCAUGUCAAACACAAAACCCAAGCCAAAAACUUGCUUCUUGUUGACUAAAUGCUUUUGAGCUUGUACUCUACAGCUUUUAAUUAAAUUAUGCCCAGGAGAUAAUGGCCUAAUGAAUUCAAAAGGACUAUCUGGUAUUCAAACAAUUUCCCACCUUUUGUACCUUUCAGUGAUAGAGAUUAGAAAUUGUCCUUGUCAAAGUAAAAUAUCUAGUUUGUGAAGGAAAAAAUAUAUAUUGUAGAAAUCUAUCUUUGUUUCCAAAUAACUAUUUGUUAAACUUUCGCCAAGUCUGUAUCCAGUAGAAAAAUAAUAUGUGAAACAUGAAAAUAGAAAGGGUGGGAGGAGUCUUGAGAUGCCUCUCAUUGCCUAAAAUUGACCUUUCUCUCUUUAGAAAUGUUUCAUUUUUUACUGUGUACCCGAAACAGUGAUCAGUCCUCAUUAAUUAGGUUCUAGUUAGACCCUUGGUUUUUUUCUGGAAACUAAGAUCAUUCUUCCUUCUCAGUUAAAGGAAAUUUAGGGUUUCUUCUUUUUUCUUCUUAGAUAGGCGGCAACUGAUUAGUGGAGUUGUG